CAGUUUGGGACACUUUUGGAGAAAAGGGACAAAACUACCUGGGGGUGUGUGUAGGGGUGACACCCCCUGUCUCGAUCUCAUCGGGUAUACCCAUACAAUUUAGUCGGGCAAAUCUUGAAAAUAUUUGAGUGUCUCAGAUUGAAAAGUAAUAGUGGUAGGAAAAAGUGGUAGUGAAAAAUGCUCCCCGCUCACCAACAAUUUUGGGAAAAGAAAUAUUAAUUAGCAAAUGAUCAAAUACAGAAGUUUUGCCCCUGUUGGAGAGCCCCCCCUUGUCAACAUUCCAGGACUACACCACUAGUCGUAGCCAUACUGGUAUUGUUAGCAUAUAUAAUUUCAGCACAUCAUAUUGUAUGCUCUUACUGCAGUAGCAGACACUUUUGGUGGGAAGGCAUUCGGUUGCCACAACGUGAACACCUUAUGGUGCUCUAAAUCUCAGUCCUUUAAAUUUUACCUCAAAAUUCUGGCAAUUUAAAGCUUAUUUUAUUCCCAACCUAUGCUUUCAUGGAUGCUAUAUCAUCCAAAGGCUUUCAGAAAUGGGAGAGUGAUUUGUACCCUACACUGCUGUCCUGUUUAUUUUCUGUUAAGCCCCAAGCUGGCCAAGCAGCUUAUUUAUUUCAGGCAUGGAGUCUAGAAACUAUAGCUUGUAUCUCAAUUUGAGAGAGGAUGUGGAGGGUUUAAAUUAACAGUAGGUUUGUUAUAAAAUUA